GCCGGUUCUCACCCAUGGGGGGGCUGAGAGCCCUUAAUGAGCUCGUUAAGAGUCAUUCCCUUUCCCAGGUGCCCCCCAUCCCGAGAGCAGUGGAGUGAUGGUCCCUGAGGGAGAGGAGAAGCUGAGGAAGAGCAGAGCUUCGGUGGGGAGAAGCUGCACAUUCCAAGGGGACCCGUGGCAGAAGGUGCACCCAGGAACCCAGAAAAUGCCAGUGGCUGUUUCUUGCUCUGUGGAAGGAAGCUAAAGGAGUUAAUUGAAUUAAAUCCUCAAUCUGGGUAGCCAGGAGUAAGGCAGACUGAAAACUGAAGCCUGAACUCUGUUUGAGCUUGAAGAGAGACACUAAGAACGUCUUGGAGAGCAAAUCUACUGCUUGGAGACCAGCGGGGCUGGUGAAAGAUUUCUGCCAUGGAAGGAGACCAUUUCUUGAUCCUGAACCAGAAAGUCCCUUGGAAAAAGAUGGACCCUCCUUUGGAAAAACAGGAUAACUCUGAGAGAAUCUGAAUGAUUUAGGUUGGCAAAGACCUUUAAGAUCAUCCAGUCCAACCUUUACCACUGCCAAGGCCACCACCAACAUUCAGGUACAUUGACUUUCUUCAACUGGGAAUGGGGAAACCCCACAAGAAGUGACACCAACAGCAUCCAAGAAAUAACUGUGCUAAUGGACUUUCUGGUCUAGAACAACCCAUUAACUCUUAAAAAGUAUUGCUCUGUGUCAGGAAACAGCAAGGAUAGUAAAAAUG